CUUAAGCUAUGCCUCUAACCCUUUUUGCUUUGGUUAUUUUGAAGAAAGAGUCUUGCUUUUUGCCCAGGCCAGUCUGUACUGAGAUCUUCCUAUUUUCACUUCCUGCUGUAAUAGUAAUAGAUUAAUAACACAACUUACCGUAGACAUUAGUAACCUCAACAUAUAAUUUUUCCCUUUUUCAUUGAUUUAAAAAUUUUCACCUAUUCACUUAAAGGAAGCAUGCUAUAGCUUUUCUUUGUCAUAUCCAAAUUGCCACCAUCACUACUUUUGUGCCUUGGGAGAUUUAUAAAGCCAUGAAUAAGGGUUACUUGCAGAUAAGCACUGUGACAGCAUGACAGCUGAUCUGUUAAGAUCAUAACUAUGUGACAACCAUCCAGAAUUGAUGGAGUGUGGAUACUCUGGAUGAAGCAAUGAUGAUUCACAUCCCAGGCCAAAUGAAGCCAGGGAUCAUGUGCUUUUGUUUCUACUGAAGUCCCUAACAGAAUUGCAUGUAAUAAGAUAUUUACCAAGAACUGAGUAUGUGCUGAACUGGCAUGCAAGAUAAAAAGUUAUUAUAAAGAGAUAAUACCUUAAAAGGAAUUCUGAAAAAUUUUAAACAAAGGCAUUGCAGUUGGAAAGAAAGAGAAAAAAAGACAAGGCUAAUAAUAUCAAAGUGAAUAUUUACACUAUAAGACAAAAUAAAAUCAGAAACAAAAUAUUUGGGAUACAAUAUGAAGAACAACAGUUCCAUAAGUAGACCUUUCAUGAGUAUGUGUUAAAUGAGGAGUGAAUAAUCUUUUAGUUUUCAUGUUUAAAGGCUUGCCUUUGGCCAACCUGACAGACAAAAUCUCCCUGGUUCCUGACUGAUUGAGGAAACAAUGAAGAAGAUGGAAUUUGGGAAAGAGAGGGCAUUAUGAGGAAAAUUACAUCAAGAGAAUAAGAAAAUAUCCUCAGGAGAAAAGAAAGCAGUAAAAAUAUUACUACUUUGCUAGAUGUUAACUUCAAGAUUAUUAUUUCCAUAUAUGAUUUAUUUUAAGUACAUGUGUCAACAAAGAUAAUUCAUUUUAAAAAGGCUCUUAGUGGUAUGAAAGUAUACUUUAAAAAGCUUUUCCAUUUUUGUUUGAAUCUUUUAAAUCUUUUUUUCUUUUAAGACAAAGGUCGAAUAUUUUCCCUCAUG